rnacentral:rRNA from 1 species
CUGGCUAAGGAGGAUGUUUGCGACAUCUGCAGAGUGGAAAAGGAAGAUGAAUUUCACGCGAUGAUUACAUGCACAAGAAGUAGGGCAUUGAGAUGCGCUAUGUGGGUAGUGUGUGAUCUCCCAAAAGAAUGCACAUUUAGGCAGUAUGGCGAUGAUUGGCUGCAGAUGUUGUUAAGCCCACAGUCCAAUGUUGUUAGAAGAAGAAUACUGUUGAUUCUCUGGAGGUCUUGGCAGCUCAGGAACAACGUUAUCCAUGGGGAUGGGAAAGAGACAGUUUUGGGUGUCGUGAAUCACCUGACAAAAUUGCAGGUGGGUCUAUUAAUUGUUGGCCUCGUAUGGUGGUUCUCCAACUGUCGGAAAUAA